CUCCCUCGGUCUCGGGGCCCACGGGCUGGACGAUGGGGAAAGAAACUUCACCGGGAGGGGCUGUGAAGGCAAGACCGGCUUUGCAGCGAGACAGGUUCCCCCCAGCCCCGCCGCGGGCGAGCUCGGUGCAGUCUAGUCCUGAGCAGGUGGGGGUCACGGCCGUCUCUGCCUCGCCCUCCUCGCUGCAGGAUGUGGCGGCCGCACAAGGGGAUAAGACACCGGGGACUCCUCCAGCCUCCCAACUUCCAUGUCUCCUGUCACCGACUCACCCGUCGGAGUUGUUUAUCGCCUCCCUUCCCCGCUAGAGGGUGAGCGCCCUGGAAGAGUGGGCCCUGACGGUCAGCAGGUUCGCUUCCUGGCCCCCGGUACCCAGAACGGUGCCCGACACGUAGGAGGUAUCAGUAAAUACCUGCUGGCACAGUGACCCAGGUCUUUUCUGCAUCUAAUAUUACGCGGGCCUAAGAAUAGACGGCCUAGGCACCCCCGCCUGAAACGCGGCCCCAGCUGGGAACAGCAGGGGUGGCCUCAAGACCCAACCACACGGGCCCACCCCAGUGUUUGUGUGGUCAACUAAUUCUUGCCCCAAAAGUAUUUUUUUUUUUUUUUGUAAUUACUUCUUAUAGGGGUGUCUUGUAGAAAUUGAUACUUUGGAUAUUUGUGGUCACAACUGAUCCAGUGGGGUGGGGCUCUUUACAUUCCUGUGACUGCUUAUCCUGUGACUCUAUGAACCUCAUUCAUGGUCACAGGAGCAUUACUUUUCAGUGCUGAAAAACAAGACGGAGAGGACACACGAUCCCUGCCUAUAUAGAAUGACUCCAGUUAGAGCGUGUGUAGAUCAACAAGCUGUGAAUACUCACACCCUCAACUUAUGGACAAGGAAGCAGUGCCCAGGACAGCGUUUUGGGGUGGAACAGGACCAGAUCUCCCCACUUUAGUGUGCUCAUGUAUGAGACCGACUUAGCGCACUGGAGUCUGACAUGUCAGGCAAUUAUUUACCAGGUGUCUGCUUUGUGCUUGGCCGUGUGCUGGCUGCUGUGGCUACAGUGGUGGGCAGGACAGACAAGGACUCCACCCUCACGCCGCACACAUCCAAUUUGGGGGCACCAGGGAGACGAUUAUCUGAGCAAAACAUGAACUAGGGAAACACGAUGGUUUCCCUAAACAGCUAGUGCUGUUUCCAAGCCUAGCUGACUUUUAAUGCCAGCCCCGUGGCUUACUAGCUGCAGGACCUUGGGCAAGAAACUCAGCCUCCAUAAGCCUCAAAUUCUUCAUCUGUAAAAUGGGCACAAUGACGAUACUACCUUUUGGAUUGCUGUAUGUAUUAAAAUGCUUAGUGUAAUGCAUGGUAAAUAAAGACUUGAUGCAUGCUAA